UGGUCCUAACCUUGAAAUCAGUUGUUACUUAAUUUAUACAUGCAAGUCUCCGCACCCCUGUGAGAACGCCCUUAAUUUCCUGCCAGGAACAAGGAGCCGGUAUCAGGCACAACUUUUAGCCCAAGACACCUAGUUUAACCACACCCACAUAGGGCACCCAGCAGUAAUCAACAUUGAGCAUAAGCGUCAGCUUGACUCAGUCAAAGUAAAUAGGGCCGGCAAAUCCGGUGCCAGCCGCCGCGGUUACACCACGAGGCCCAAAUUGAUUUUUUUCGGCGUAAAGCGUGAUUAAAGUACCAAAACAAUUAUAGUUGUACCAGAACUAAGCCGUAGCACGCUUGUACCUGAGAAAAACAAAAACGAAAGUUACUAUAUAUACAUCAACUUGAAUUCACGACAGCUGAGAAACAAACUGGGAUUAGAUACCCCAUUAUGCUCAGCCGUAAACUUUUAUUUACACCCAUAUCGCCAGGGAACUACGAGCCAAGCUUAAAACCCAAAGGACUUGACGGUACCCCACAUCCACCUAGAGGAGCCUGUCCUAUAAUCGAUAACCCCCGCUUAACCUCACCAUUUUUAGCAUAACAGCCUAUAUACCUCCGUCGUCAGCUUACCUCGUGAGUGAUCCUUAGUGAGCUUAAUGUCCUUACGUCAGUACGUCAGGUCAAGGUGCAGUAAAUGAAAUGGGAAGAGAUGGGCUACACUCUCUAAUAUAGAAUACACGAAAAACUAUUUAUGAAAUUUAGUCAGAAGGCGGAUUUAGAAGUAAAAAAAGACCAUAGUGCUUUUUUUAAUACGGCACUGGGGUGUGUACACACCGCCCGUCACCCUCUUCAAAGCCAAAAGACAGUAUAUAACACAAAACAGCUAACUAGAAGAGGCAAGUCGUAACAUGGUAAGUGUACCGGAAGGUGCACUUGGAAA
rnacentral:ncRNA from 1 species